rnacentral:rRNA from 1 species
GACGAACGCUGGCGGCGUGCUUAACACAUGCAAGUCGAACGGUGAACUCCUCUUGCGUGGGGAUCAGUGGCGAACGGGUGAGUAACACGUGGGCAACCUUCCCUCAGCUCUUUGAUAACUCCAAUAAAUUAGGGCUAAUACCGGAUAUGACCGCUGACCGCAUCGUGUGGUGGCGGAAAGAUUUAUCGGCUGGGGAUGGGCCCGCGGCCUAUCAGCUUGUUGGUGGUGUAGUGGCCUACCAAGGCGACGACGGGUAGCCGGCCUGAGAGGGUGACCGGCCACACUGGGACUGAGACACGGACCAGACUCCUACGGGAGGCAGCAGUGGGGAAUAUUGCGCAAUGGGCGCAAGCCUGACGCAGAGACGCCGCGUGGGGGAUGACGGCCUUCGGGUUGUAAACCUCUUUCAGCAGGGACGAAGCGAAAGUGACGGUACCUGCAGAAGAAGCACCGGCCAACUACGUG